rnacentral:rRNA from 1 species
GGAGUUAGCCGGUGCUUCUUCUGUGAGUGAUGUCCUUCCUGCCGGCUAUUAACCCGCAGGCCUUCUUCCUCACUGAAAGUGCUUUACAACCCGAAGGCCUUCUUCACACACGCGGCAUGGCUGGAUCAGGGUUGCCCCCAUUGUCCAAUAUUCCCCACUGCUGCCUCCCGUAGGAGUCUGGGCCGUGUCUCAGUCCCAGUGUGGCUGAUCAUCCUCUCAGACCAGCUACGGAUCGUCGCCUUGGUGAGCCGUUACCUCACCAACCAGCUAAUCCGACAUAGGCUCAUCCGAUAGCGCGAGGCCCGAAGGUCCCCCGCUUUCCCCCGUAGGGCGUAUGCGGUAUUAGCCUGGGUUUCCCCAGGUUAUCCCCCACUACCGGGCAGAUUCCUAUGCAUUACUCACCCGUCCGCCGCUCGCCACCAGGGAGCAAGCUCCCCGUGCUGCCGCUCGACUUGCAUGUGUUAGGCCUGCCGCCAGCGUUCAAUCUGAACCAAGAUCAAUUCUGA